CGAAACACCUGCAGUCGAGAUUCCUACGGGAGGCAGCAGUAGGGAAUCUUCCGCAAUGGACGAAAGUCUGACGGAGCAACGCCGCGUGAGUGAUGAAGGCUUUCGGGUCGUAAAACUCUGUUGUUAGGGAAGAACAAGUACAAGAGUAACUGCUUGUACCUUGACGGUACCUAACCAGAAAGCCACGGCUAACUACGUGCCAGCAGCCGCGGUAAUACGUAGGUGGCAAGCGUUAUCCGGAAUUAUUGGGCGUAAAGCGCGCGCAGGCGGUUUCUUAAGUCUGAUGUGAAAGCCCACGGCUCAACCGUGGAGGGUCAUUGGAAACUGGGGAACUUGAGUGCAGAAGAGAAAAGCGGAAUUCCACGUGUAGCGGUGAAAUGCGUAGAGAUGUGGAGGAACACCAGUGGCGAAGGCGGCUUUUUGGUCUGUAACUGACGCUGAGGCGCGAAAGCGUGGGGAGCAAACAGGAUUAGAUACCCUGGUAGUCCACGCCGUAAACGAUGAGUGCUAAGUGUUAGAGGGUUUCCGCCCUUUAGUGCUGCAGCUAACGCAUUAAGCACUCCGCCUGGGGAGUACGGUCGCAAGACUGAAACUCAAAGGAAUUGACGG
rnacentral:rRNA from 2 species